UACGUAGGUGGCGAGCGUUGUCCGGAAUUACUGGGUGUAAAGGGCGUGUAGGCGGGAAUGCAAGUCAGAUGUGAAAUUCCGAGGCUUAACCUCGGCGCUGCAUCUGAAACUGUGUUUCUUGAGUGAUGGAGAGGAAAGCGGAAUUCCUAGUGUAGCGGUGAAAUGCGUAGAUAUUAGGAGGAACACCAGUGGCGAAGGCGGCUUUCUGGACAUUAACUGACGCUGAGGCGCGAAAGCGUGGGGAGCAAACAGGAUUAGAAACCCGAGUAGU
rnacentral:rRNA from 1 species